UUGGCCUCUCGGUGCCUCAGGCGCUGCCUCUCUUUCCCAGCAUCAUGGGAAAACUCUUUCCGCCCAGCGGAUGUUGUUAUUCCACGUGUGAGAGGGGGAAGUCGAGGCCCAGAGAAGUUAAGGCCCCACCCGAGCUCUGACGACUAAAAACGGGGUGCAGAACCGGAACCCAAGUUUACCAGGGUAUUCUGCAGCCUCCACUAGAGCUUUGCACAUCCACACGGGAUCUUAGUUCUGAAACCAGGGAUCAAGCCCACAUCCCCAGCAUUGGAAGCACUGAGUCUUCACCGCUGGACCACCAGGAACUUGGAGUCAGCUCUUGUCCAAUUCAAGCCAGCUAAGACUGGUUGGGACCACCGACCCCAAAACUGGGCCUGUACAGGUGUUUGAUGAAUGACCUUUUGACAUCAGAGGGCCGAAAACUCCACCCUCAGAUCAUGCUAAGCACCUCCAUUUCUGAACCUGCAUUCCAUAAAGAAGCAUGUAACUCAUAUACACCUGUGCAGAACAUCGAUUGCCUCACCUUUUCCGUGCCUCCAAACACUUUACUCUGGGCCUAAGACCACCCUGCUUCGUUAUC